CCUUGGUCCUCUGCUCUAGGAGACGAUUUGUUGAAUGGACCGUUCUUUUAGACAAUUUAAAGUUCUGUAUUUAUAUGUUCAGUGUAUCUCUUGUAUGGAAUUGAACCGAGUUCCUUAUGGUUCCCAACAAAGAGACCCUAGUAAAUCAAAGGCCAAGGGGAUGCCAAGCCUCAGUGUAAAACUUUGAGCAGAGAAACCAUCCUUGUUAAAGAUGUGACAUUAAUCCCUCCAAGCCUACAAAACACUAAUUGAUUAGAGAUGCUUACCUUGUUAUUGACUCUGGAGAACUUAUGCUACCUAAUACACAGACAAACACAGAUGGGCAUAGUUAGGCAAGAUGUUAUCCCUCAUAUCAAACAGAU